rnacentral:lncRNA from 1 species
CUGAUUUACUGCUUGUGUUAUUAGCAUUUUUCUUUAUAUGGUUUUUAGUGGUUGUUCCAUAUUAUAUAUACAUUACUUAUUGCAGUUUACUAUGUCAACAUUCUACUAGCUCAAGUUAAGUGUAGAAACCAACCUUCCUUUAUGUCCUUCACCCUCCCCCAUCUAUACCAUAAUUGUCUUAAAUACUUCCUUUAAAUACAUUUUAGAUACAACAACAAAGCAUGAUCCAUUAAAGAAAAUCUUGAUGAAAAAAAAAUUGAUAAGUUGGACUUUAUUAAAUAGUACUACUCUAUGGAACACAAUACAAAGAAGAGAGACAAGCCAUAGUAGGAGAAAAUAUUUGCAAAAUACAUAUCAGAUAAAUGACCUGUACCCAAAAUAUACAAAGAACUCUUAAAACUCAAUGAUAAUGGAUAAGCAAUGAGAUCCUGCUGUAUAGUACUGGGAACUAUAUCUAGUCACUUAUGAUGGAGCAUGAUGGAGAAUAAUGUGAGAAAAAGAAUGUAUAUAUAUAUGCGUGACUGGGUCACUUUGCUGUACAGCAGAAAAUUGACAGAACACUAUAAACCAGCUAUAAUGGAAAAAAUCAUUUAAUAUUUUAAAAAACUCAAUAAGAAAAUAAGAAAUUCAGUCAAGAAAAUAAACAAAAUAUCUGAAUAGUCACCUCACCAAAGAAGAUACACAAAUGGCAAAUAAGAAUAUGAAAAGAUACUCAACACUAUAUAUCAUAAGAGAAUUGCAAAUUAAAAUGAUGAGAUACCACUACACACCUAUUAGAAUGGAUAAAUAUUUUUAUAAAGACAAGUGCUGGGAAUUCCCUGGUGGCCUACCAGUUAAGGACUCAGCAUUGUCACUGCUAUGGCUCAGGUUACGACUGUGGCUCAGAUUCAAUCGCUGGCCUAGGAACUUCUGCAUGCCAUAGGCAUGCCUCCCCCCCGCCAAAAAAAAUGCUUUAAAAAAAAAUAUAUAUAGGACAAAUGCUAGCAAGGACACACAGCAACAUGAACUCUCAUUCACUGCUGGUGAGAAUGCAAGAUACAACAGUCACUUUGAAAGAUAAUUUGGCAGUUUGUAACAAAACUAAACAUACUCUUACCAUAUAAUCCAGCAAUCACAUUCCUUGAUAUUUACCCAAAGGAGCUAAAAACUUUUCUCUGCAAAACAGCCUGCACAUACAUGUUUAUAGCAGCUCUAUUCAUAAAGCUAUGGACUUCAGGUAACAACAACAUAUCAGUCAUGAAAAAUCAGAAGCAACCAAGAUGUUCUUUAAUUGGUGAAUGGUAAACAAUAUAUCAAGACAAUGGAAUAUUUUUUAGCACUAAAAAGAAAUGAGCUAUCAAGGUAUGAAAAGACAUGAAGGAAACUUUAAUGCAUAUUAAGUGAAAGAAGGCAGUCUGAUAGGGAUGCAUAUUGUAUAAUUCUGACUAUGCAACAUGGAAAAGGCAAAACUAUAGAGACAGUAAAAGGAUCAAUGGUUGCUGGGAUUGGGAGGAGAGAGAAGGAUGAACAGAUGGAGCACAGAAGAAACUAUUCUGUGUGAUACUGUAAUGCUGGAUACAUGACACCAUGCAUUUAUCAAACCCAUAGUGUUAUACACAAAGAGUGAACUUUAUAGAAUAUAGUUAAUAGUAAUAUAUGAAUAAUGGUUCAUUAGCUGUAAUAAGUGUACCACACUGGUGCAAAAUGGGCGAACUCUGUGAUUGGGUAGAGAGGGUAGUAUCAAAAUAUUACCUACCCAUUGAGAACUCUUAUAGGAACUCUCUGUACUAUCUAAAAAGAAAGGGUGAACUAAAAUUACUAUGCUGUUGUUUUUUAAGUAUAAACACAGAAGAAAGUCAUUAUCUAACUUUAAAAUACUCAGAAACAAAAAUUAUCUAUGAGAAUUUUCUGAAAGAAAAAGCCAAAAAUUACUUCCAGAUAAAACAGCUACCGAAAUUUAUAUGGGCAAUGGAAAUAAGCUAAAAUAGUUAAAGCAAUUUUUUAGAAGAGAAAAAUGUUUAAAGACAAAAUACAUGAUGACUUAAUAAAAAUCUACAAUAAUCAACAUCAUGGUAUUAGUAAAAGGGGAAAAAACAGAUCAAAGGAACAAAAUGGAACAGAACUAGAGCAACAAAUACACAGACAAAUCGUUUCUGACAAAGGUGUCAAGUCAGUUCAAUAAGAAAAGGGAAGUCUUUUCCAGCAAUAAUGCUAGAACAACUGAAUAUCCACAUGCAAAAAUAAUAGGCAUUGACCAUUACUUAAUGCAAAAUGUAAAAAUUAACUUGAAAUGGAUCAAAGACCUAAACGUAAGAAGUAAAAUUAUGAAACUCCUAGAAGAAAACAAAAUUUUUCCCAACUUGGUAUUACAUAAGUAUUCUUCAUGUAAAAUUUUUUAAAUCCACAAACUAUUAAAAACAAUCAUGAAGGAAUUUCAUCAAAAAAAUUUCUCAUCUCUGAAUGAUAUCCUUUAAGAAAAUAAAAAUACAUCACAAACAAUGGGAGAAAAUAUUCACAAUACAUGUCUGACAAAGGACUUCUAUCUGGAAAAUAUAAAGAAACAUGCUACCUCAAAUUAAGACAAACAACUCAAUUAAAAAUGGUCAAAAAAAUAGGACAUUUCACCAAAGAAGAUACAGAUGUCGAAUAACACAUGAAAAGAUAUCCAACAUCAUAGUCACUAGAGAAAUGCAAAUUAAAAUUGAUAAGAUACUACUAAACACCUACUAGAAUAGCUUUAAGAAAAAAAUAUGAAAUGCUAGUAAAGAUGAAGAAAAACUGUAAACUUUUAUACAUUUCAGGUGGGAAUAUAAAAUGGUAAAGCUUUUUUUGAAAACUGUCAGUCUCAAUAAGAGACAUAAAUAAGUUAGACAUACUCUUAAAAUAUGAUCCAGUAAUCCUACCCCUAGGUAUUUCCCUAAGAUGAAAAUAAUAUAUCUAUAUAUCAAAACUGGUAUGCAAAUAUUCAUAGAGGCAAAAACUGGAGAGGCCAAAAAGUCCUUCAAUCAGUGAAUGAAUAAACAAAAAUCUAUGGCGUUGUCUAUUUUAAAUUAUUUGUAAGUGAUAUCUAAAUUGAAAAAAAAAAGGAAGACAACAAACUUGGAGAAAAUAUUUGCAAUUUAUUUCCACAUAGGGCCACACCCCUUUAAACAUAUAAAGAAUUCUUUAAAAUUGCAGGAAAAAAUUAUCAAAAAUCCAAUGGAGAAGUUCUCAUUGUGGUUCAAAGAGUUAAGGACCCAGUGAUCCCUGGCCUUGUUCAGUGGGUUGAGGAUCUGGCGUUGCUAUAAGCUGUGGCAUACGUCACAGAUGAGGUUUGGAUCUUGUAUUGUCAUGGCAGUGGCGUAGGCCUCAGCUGCAACUCCAAUUCAGUCCCUAGCCCUGGAACAUCCAUAUGCUACAGGUGUGGCCAUUAAAAAAAAAAAAAUCCAAUAGAUAAAUGGAAAAAGAAGUAGUUACAUAAAAAAACUUAUAAAGACGAUAUUUAAAUUGAGAAAAUGAUCAAACUCACUCAAAAAAAUUUUAAAUGCAAAUUUAAAAUUCACUGAGAUGUCAUUCCUCACCAGAUUGGCAAUAUUUUUAAAAUAUGAAAAUUGAGAAAUGUGAAUAAAAUCAGUGAGUGGACUGUAUCGAUAUCGAUACCCUUAUUGUAUUUCCGCAUGUUUUGAAAAAUGUUACCACUGAGAACUAGGUAAACAAUACAUGGGCUCUCUCUGUGCUAUUUCUUACAACUAUAUGUGAGUUUACAACUAUUCCAAAAUAAUCACACCAUUGUAUAUGAUACUUAAAAGACGGAAAAAAGUUUCAUUAAGACAGGCUUGACUAAAUGUGAUAAAUACGUAUAAAGGAAAAGUAAGAAGCCACUGCAAAUAUAUGUACCUAUGUGUACCUAAUGCAUUAUGUGUGCAUAUAUACAUAUACAAACACAUACAACACACACACACUUAUGACUAUGGUUUAUUGUUAAACGGAAAAAAUAAAAACAGCAUGUUCGUUAAGAUCCUACAUUUGCUUAAAACAAAUACAUACAUAUAGACACAGAUGUCUAUGAGGAAAACACAUUCAGUUGGCAAAGUUGUGAGGACAUAGGAACUCCCAUAUAUGAAUGGUGCAAUGCAAACUGUACAAUCAUUUUUAGAGGGAUAUUUGGUAAUAUUUAAAAGUAACUAAUAACUUAUAGGACUAUCUAUCCCAUAGAUAUAUCUUAAACAAAAUGAAAAUUUAUAUAUACAAAUUUAUUCAUUUUAGCCUUGUUUGCAAUUGGGAAACACCAGAAAAAAUCUCAAUGUCCAUACGCAAGAGUUAAAUAAAUUACAGUCCAUCCAAACAAUGAAGUACAAUGUAGCAGUAAAAACAAAGAAUGAGGAAAAUCUCUAUGACCUGAUAUGAAUUGAUUUCCCGUAUACACUGGAAAUGAGAAAAAAAAAAUCCAAAACCACAGCCAUAGAGUGCAAUCUUUCAUGUAAUAAAAAAUGAGAUAUAUAAAAAUAUACAUGUACUAGUUUAUUUGUGCAAAAGAUACACAAGGAUAGAGCAGAAACUACUAAGAUGGGUUACCUACAGGAGGUGGUUGGGAAUAGGGUAGUAAGGAUCAGAAAAUGGGGAAAAGGUAUUAGAAAUGUGGAAGGGAGUGACACUUCUCUUUGUAAACCUUUUUGUACAGAUCUGACACUUGGAACCAUGGUAAUGUUUCAUACAACCAAAAAGUAAACACAUAUUCAACCUUACCAGCAUGUAAGGGAAUCUCAAAAUGGAAUGCAAAUAAUAACAAACCAAAGUGUAAACCAAAUAGAUGACAGAAACAAACCAAACAGGGUGGAUAAUAAAAUAACAAACAGUAUUUUUGACUAUACACUGUAAGACUAAAGGCAAACAGAACUGUACAGAAAUACUGUAGUUAGGAAAUUUGCUUCUCAGAAGGGUCUAUUUUAGUAAUUCUGAAACUCUUCAUGGUUUAGACAUAUACACAAAAACAAAAAAUUCUAACGUUCUAAAAUUGAGUAAUCAAGCAUAUAUGCUGAGAAUAAUGAGAGUCAGGGUUCUCAUUUUCAAAAAAAAAUGAAUUAUAUUUAAGAAAAAAAAAAGACUAGAAUAAAAAGAAUCCUGAACUUUUAACUGGAAUCAGACACAGUAAUAGGAAUUCAUGGUUUAACAUGGAAAACACAUGAAAGAAAACCAUACAUAAACACAAACAUACAGUAAAAUAUACAUAGAAAUAGGGAUGUCUAUGUAUGUGCAUAUAAAUGUAUACUUCCAAGCUUUAUUGAUUGUGAAGGUCUGGGAAAAAUGAUAUCCCAGCAGCAAUGAGCACAGAAAUAGUUUUCUAAAAACUGUUCUCUGAAAACGGAAACCAGGAUUCCUUAUAGAAAGGACCAAUGCCAGAGUUGGGGUGGUGGCAAAACAAGAUGUGCCUAAAAUAUACUGUGGUGUUAGAAAGUUAUAGCAAUGUUCAAUAAACAUGGAAACAUAUUAAAAGGACAGAAGAGCCAAUCUAAUGGUGAAAGCCAAUGGCCAAAACCUGUCAGCCACAGCAACAAAAUAAUGAUAGUAUUAUAACCAAAAAAAUGAAAUAAAUAUCAGUGAGUCCAUACUAACAUAAAUAUCUUGUUAAAUAAAUAAAAUGGUGAGAAGGGACAGCUCUUCCUUGCAGAAUUCCAAUUAAUAAAUUUGGAAGGAAUAAUGGAAAUUUUAAACAAAAUGAGAUAAAAACUAACACAAUCAUCAUGGCAUGAUAAGAAACACGACAUUUGGAGUUCCUGUGGUGGCUCAGCAGUAAUAAAACAAAGUAGUAUCCAUAAGAACACGGGUUCAAGCUCUCACCUUGCUCAAUGGGUUAAGGAUCUGGCAUUGUCGUGAUCUGUGAUGUAGAUCACAGACGCAGCUCAGAUCCCAUGUUGCUAUGACUGUGGCAAAGACCAGCAGCUACAGCUCCGAUUCGACCACUAGCCUGGGAACCAUAUGCCAUGGCUGCGGCCCUAAAAAGACAAAAAAAAAAAAAAUGACAUUUGCAUAAUCUCAAAUUAUAUCUCCAUAAGAUACAUAUAAAAUUGAAAGGGAAAAGCAGUAACUUUACAGUGGAAAACCCUGGUAUACUUUAACCAAGAGAUCAAAAGUUAACAUCCAUGUAUUAAGACAAACUGAUAUUAUGCACAUAUGAUGCAGAAGAAAUGGCACAAUAUUACUUCAGAAGCAUGAUUGCCAAGUUUGCAUAACAUGAAUUAAAUCAUGAAAAAUUCCAGUAAAAUAAGACUGUAAAACAACUAUUAUAAAAAUGCUCAUACAAGCAGUCACAUUCUUGCAACAAAUACUGAAAUAGAAAAUCUUGUCAAUAAAAAUGAAAUAAAGAAAAACAAGUAGAAAUUGGCUAUAUUCUUUAAAGACAAAAACAGACCUCAAAGCAAAGAAAAUUACCACGCAUAAAGUGGAAUUACAUAAUGGUAAAAUAGUCAAUUCAACAAGAAGCCACAACAAUUAAAUGUAUUUAGCACCAAACAGAGCUUCGUAAUAUGUGAAACAAAAACUGACAAAAUAAGAAAUAGACAAAUUGACAAGUAUACUUCAACACUUCUCUGUCAGUAUUAGAAUUAACAGGCAGAAAAUCAGCAAGAGCCUAAGACUGAACAAGAUCAUCAACUAAGGAAACCUCUGCAGUGGUUAUACAACAUUCCAUGCAACAAUAAUAGAAGUCAUACUCUUUUUAAGUACACAUAACAACAUUCACAGAAAGCAAAGCCUAAUAUACAUUAAAAAAAAUUGAAAGUAUACAAAGUAUUUUCUAAAACCGUAAUAUAAUUCAACUAGAAAUUAAUAA